UUAAGCAACACCUGUGACCAAAGCCACAUUUACUCUCUUCUUUCUCUCAUUCCCUCUCUUCCCUCUCUAAUUCGUUGAAAUCCAUUUACAUUCUAGAACCAAAACGCCCUAAUCUUCCGCGUUCGUGAGAAGAUUUGGACAUCUCUGUUAAGGAUAAAGUUUCAAGUUUCGUGACUGUGGUUGCUUAAGUACCAUUUAUAGUUUCAAGUUUCAUGACAGAAAUAGAUCACGGUUAAGGUUAAAAUGGGUUCCUAAAGCACCAUUUCGAGUAAUUAUCUUUUAAGAUGUCAACAAGAAAAUGAAAGGAUGAUGAUUCAUACAAGUCCACUGUGAAGCGGACAAAGGCCAGUAACAAGGGACAAACCUAAUGAAAUGGGGUCUGUUGAGGCACUGAUUAGACGGCUGGUCAAAUAGACCCUAAUGAAAGAAACUAGUGAAGCUUCCAGAAAUAAACCCGUUAAAGAAUGUAGUAUGCAAGAGGAGGAGAAGAUCUAUGACACACUUGGUUGUCGUUGUCAAGGGGAGAAGAUAAUCAAUACUAUGAAGAAUAUGACUCCUAAGCAAAAGCAACUUAUUAGGGACAUCAGAUUUGGUUCCCUCCCACGUACCGAGGUCCUGAGUGUCAGGGGUGGGCUUAUAUGGUACUUGUACAACAACAUGGAUAUCGAUAAUUGAGAACUCAAGUUUGACGAAGUAAGUUGCCCUAUAACGGUUGAAUCAUUCGAGAGUAUUAUAGGAAUCAAGGAUGGGGGCAAGGAAAUCUACUUUGAUUUUGUCACUGAUGAUGAGAACAAAAUAUACGAGGAAAUACACAAUGAAAAGCAGUCUAUAUGCAAUGACUUGAUGAAAAAAGCUAUGGAAGAUGAUCAAGCCGACAUCUAUUUUGUUGGCCGAUUUAUGUUUGUUGCAAUGGGCACAUUCUUAGUACCAACUUCUAGUACCUAUGUCCGAAAGGAGUACCUUAAUGUGCUUCAAGAUAUUGAAAAAAUCAAGAUGCUGAACUAGGCGUCUUUUGUUGUCAAAUUCCUCCAUGACAGUUUGAUAGGCCUGCGUGGACGGGAAAACCUUAAAUCUGUCUAGUAAGGGAUAUUCUAGUAGAAUCACAUUAAAUAGAAGCAAACAUAUACCCCAGGCCACAGACUUCUCUUGCUUAUUGGAAAUACCAAUGACUCUCAAAGCUUAGGUCAUUUGCCUUGAAGGACGGAGAUUAUAAUGGUAACAAGAUUCCCCUAUAUAAAGCCAGUGUACCAGAGGCAUCCUAGCAGCCCAAUAUACAACAUGACUGCAUCGUCCAUCUAAAUUGGGUCUAGCUCGAACAACACUUGCUACAACUGAAUCCUUAGGGAUGAAAUAAGGAGGAUAGAUGAGAAGAUGAAGGAGACGAUCGAUGUUGCUAUUACUGCAAUGAAGAAAUCCAUUGGUGUAUUCUAACAAAAGGCACAAAUCGGAAGGGAAAUUUCCAAUAUAAGGAAAAUUAUUGUGCAAGACAUUUUGUGAGCUCUUUAAGAAAAUUUGCAAACUUAAAAUAUAACCUGUAAGGAUAAUAAUAAGAUUUAAUAGUCAUCAAUAAUAGAGAUAAAAAAAAAAGGCAUCAACAGUUAUAUAGGUUAA